UAACUCUACGGGGGGCAGCAGUGGGGGAUAUUGCACAAUGGGGGGAACCCUGAUGCAGCGACGCCGCGUGAAGGAAGAAGGGUUUCGGCUCGUAAACUUCUAUUAACAGGGACGAAAGAAAUGACGGUACCUGAAUAAGAAGCCCCGGCUAACUACGUGCCAGUAGCCGCGGUAAUACGUAGGGGGCAAGCGUUAUCCGGAAUUACUGGGUGUAAAGGGUGAGUAGGCGGCAUGGUAAGCCAGAUGUGAAAGCCUUGGGCUUAACCCGAGGAUUGCAUUUGGAACUAUCAAGCUAGAGUACAGGG
rnacentral:rRNA from 1 species